rnacentral:tRNA from 2 species
UCCUCAAUAGCUGAGUGGUAGAUCGGUCGGCUAUUAACUGACUGGUUGUAGUUUCGAAUCCUACUUAGGGAG